rnacentral:rRNA from 1 species
AGCAGCCGCGGUAAUUCCAGCUCCAAUAGCGUAUAUUAAAGUUGUUGCAGUUAAAAAGCUCGUAGUUGAAUUUCGGGGUUAGUAGGUUGGUCAUGCCUCUGGUAUGCACUGGCCUCACUGAUUCCUCCUUCCUGAUGAGCCGUAAUGCCAUUAAUUUGGUGUUGCGGGGAAUUUGGACUGUUACUUUGAAAAAAUUAGAGUGUUUAAAGCAGGCUCACGCUUGAAUACAUUAGCAUGGAAUAAUGAAAUAGGACGUUUGAUUCUAUUUUGUUGGUUUCUAGGAUCGACGUAAUGAUUAAUAGGGAUAGUUGGGGGCAUUAGUAUUCAAUUGUCAGAGGUGAAAUUCUUGGAUUUAUUGAAGACUAACUACUGCGAAAGCAUUUUGCCAAGGAUGUUUUCAUUAAUCAAGAACGAAAGUUAGGGGAUCGAAGACGAUCAGAUACCGUCGUAGUCUUAACCAUAAACUAUGCCGACUAGGGAUCGGAUGAUGUUAAUUUUUUAAUGACUCAUUCGGCGCCUU